rnacentral:rRNA from 1 species
AGUGAACGCUGGCGGCAGGCCUAAUACAUGCAAGUCGAACGGAAGCACAGUAAGAGUUUGCUUUUACGGGUGGCGAGUGGCGGACGGGUGAGGAAUACAUAGGAUUCUUCUUUUUCGUGGGGGAUAACGUAGGGACACUUACGCUAAUACCGCAUAUGAUCUACGGGUGAAAGCAGGGGAUCUUCGGACCUUGCGCGAUUGAAUGAGACGAUGUCGGAUUAGCUAGUUGGCGGGGUAAAGGCCCACCAAGGCGACGAUCCGUAGCUGGUCUGAGAGGAUGAUCAGCCACACUGGAACUGAGACACGGUCCAGACUCCUACGGGAGGCAGCAGUGGGGAAUAUUGGACAAUGGGCGCAAGCCUGAUCCAGCCAUACCGCGUGAGUGAAGAAGGCCUUCGGAUUGUAAAGCCCUUUUGUUGGGAAAGAAAAACAGCAGGUUAAUACCCCGCUGUUCUGACGGUACCCAAAGAAUAAGCACCGGCUAACUUCGUG